rnacentral:lncRNA from 11 species
GCAAUUUUUGUGAAAAGUGUAACACUCAGGAGUUUUGCUGCCUCGAUUAUCACUUUUCAAGUGCCCCAUCUUCCACAAACCAAUCUACCUCCUGGUGGCCUGUAGUCAACUGAUACUCUCUUUUAUUAUACAAUUUCAUCUCUUUGAUUCAAAAAGAAAAGAGGCACAAAAGGGUUAA